rnacentral:rRNA from 1 species
UACCAGCACCCCGAGUGGUCGGGACGAUUAUUGGGCCUAAAGCAUCCGUAGCCGGUACUGCAAGUCUUCCGUUAAAUCCACCUGCUCAACAGUUGGGCUGCGGAGGAUACUACAGCGCUAGGAGGCGGGAGAGGCAAGCGGUACUCAUUGGGUAGGGGUAAAAUCCACUGAUCCAUUGAAGACCACCAGUGGCGAAGGCGGCUUGCCAGAAUGCGCUCGACGGUGAGGGAUGAAAGCUGGGGGAGCAAAACCGG